rnacentral:tRNA from 1 species
AGUUUUAUAAUUUAAAUCAAAAUAUUAAAUUGCAAAUUUAAAGAUAGAAGUAAUUCUUAAAACUU